UUGAACAGCUUUCCUCCCAUCCUCGUUACGUACCCUUGCAUAAGCAGAACCAUCGUCAACUACUUUUGUUUUCAUCCGUGUUGCCGUAAUAUAAGGUUGUCCUAAAAUCAACGGAUAAGAUGUUGUAUCUUGAACAAAGAAAAGUUGCUCCGUUGCAACAUCCCCAAUCCGAAUUUUGACAUCUAGACAAGCUCCAUAUAAUUCGCCCUGUGUGUU
rnacentral:lncRNA from 1 species